AAAAUUAAUUCAUAUUUGUGUGUGUUUUCUUACUGUUUAGCACAAGUGUGUCCCGCGCAAGUUUGAAUUUCUCUCAGUAAGGACUGACGGACGGCCAUUCACUCAUAAAACCUUUUAAAGCACAAGUGUUUCCCGCGCAAAUUAGAAUUUCUCUCAGUAAGGACUGACGGAUGGCCAUUCACUCAUAAAACCUUUUAAAGGUUAGCACGAAUGCAUCCAGCAUAAUUUUGGAUCUUUACCAUUGAGGAGACUGGCUGACUGUUCUCAACCAACCAUCAUUCACACGCAAAAACUUUAAAGUUAAGUAUGAACGUGUCUAGAGCAGUUUUGGAUCUUUACCAUUGAGGAGGUUGACUGACUUUCAUCUACCAACUGUCAUUAACACAACAAAAACUAAAGAAAUGUUACUACAAGUGGACCUAUUCAGUUACUCAUUAUGCUGUGAGUACACCACAAUUUUAUCAGUGAAACAAUAAUGUUUGUUUUUUCUCAAUGCUUGGCAUAGACAAAUGUGACCCUGUGUAAUUUGGAAAUUUCAUGGGAAAUG